GCUUAGGACUCUCUUCGGACCCCCUCUCCCUUCGAUGGACCUAGAUGUCGCGGAUGGCUGCUUUCUCUUCGGGAUUUCACCUUUCACGCAUACACAUGGCAUCGACAUGGAUCCCUUUUUCCUGGAGGUGGACCAGCACUUGUGGAUGGACUCCUUUUCAGGCCGCCCUUCGACCCACACAUUUCGCCCACAUGCAAUUCUUUUAAUACGAUGUGAAUUUGAAUCUAUAUAAACCUAAAUAUAUCCUGUGUUUUGUG